UACGUAGGUCCCGAGCGUUGUCCGGAUUUAUUGGGCGUAAAGCGAGCGCAGGCGGUUUGAUAAGUCUGAAGUUAAAGGCUGUGGCUCAACCAUAGUUCGCUUUGGAAACUGUCAAACUUGAGUGCAGAAGGGGAGAGUGGAAUUCCAUGUGUAGCGGUGAAAUGCGUAGAUAUAUGGAGGAACACCGGUGGCGAAAGCGGCUCUCUGGUCUGUAACUGACGCUGAGGCGCGAAAGCGUGGGGAGCGAACAGG
rnacentral:rRNA from 1 species